rnacentral:rRNA from 1 species
UACAGAGGGUGCAAGCGUUAAUCGGAAUUACUGGGCGUAAAGCGCGCGUAGGCGGCUUGACAAGUCGAGUGUGAAAUCCCCGGGCUUAACCUGGGAGCUGCAUUCGAAACUGUCUUGCUAGAGUAUGGGGAGAGGGAGGUGGAAUUUCAGGUGUAGCGGUGAAAUGCGUAGAUAUCUGAAGGAACAUCAGUGGCGAAAAGCGACCUCCUGGACCAAUACUGACGCUCAGGUGCGAAAAGCGUGGGGAGCAAACAGG